GAUGAACGCUGGCGGCGUGCCUAAUACAUGCAAGUCGAGCGAACAGACGAGGAGCUUGCUCCUCUGACGUUAGCGGCGGACGGGUGAGUAACACGUGGAUAACCUACCUAUAAGACUGGGAUAACUUCGGGAAACCGGAGCUAAUACCGGAUAACAUGUUGAACCGCAUGGUUUAACAGUGAAAGACGGUCUUGCUGUCACUUAUAGAUGGAUCCGCGCCGCAUUAGCUAGUUGGUAAGGUAACGGCUUACCAAGGCAACGAUGCGUAGCCGACCUGAGAGGGUGAUCGGCCACACUGGAACUGAGACACGGUCCAGACUCCUGCGGGAGGCAGCAGUAGGGAAUCUUCCGCAAUGGGCGAAAGCCUGACGGAGCAACGCCGCGUGAGUGAAGAAGGUCUUCGGAUCGUAAAACUCUGUUAUUAGGGAAGAACAAAUGUGUAAGUAACUAUGCACGUCUUGACGGUACCUAAUCAGAAAGCCACGGCUAACUACGUG
rnacentral:rRNA from 1 species